UCACUUAGGCCUCCCAAGUCCUUGGUAAAGACCUAAGAAUCUUUCUCACAAGAUCGCUGUUAGAAUAAGACUUACCAAGACUUUUUAGAUCAUUAAUAAUAUCCAUAAAAUGAGUAAAUAUUUCAGUUAUUGAUUCAUCAUGCUCCAUUUUAAAGAGUUCAUAUUUGUGCACAAGCAUGCUAAUUUUUUAUUCCUUAACUUGAUUAGUGCCUUCAUGUGUUAC
rnacentral:lncRNA from 1 species